GAUGAACGCUGGCGGCGUGCCUAAUACAUGCAAGUCGAGCGAACAGAUAAGGAGCUUGCUCCUUUGACGUUAGCAGCGGACGGGUGAGUAACACGUGGAUAACCUACCUAUAAGACUGGGAUAACUUCGGGAAACCGGAGCUAAUACCGGAUAACAUAUUGAACCGCAUGGUUCAAUAGUGAAAGGCGGCUUUGCUGUCACUUAUAGAUGGAUCCGCGCCGUAUUAGCUAGUUGGUAAGGUAACGGCUUACCAAGGCAACGAUACGUAGCCGACCUGAGAGGGUGAUCGGCCACACUGGAACUGAGACACGGUCCAGACUCCUACGGGAGGCAGCAGUAGGGAAUCUUCCGCAAUGGGCGAAAGCCUGACGGAGCAACGCCGCGUGAGUGAUGAAGGUCUUCGGAUCGUAAAACUCUGUUAUCAGGGAAGAACAAAUGUGUAAGUAACUGUGCACAUCUUGACGGUACCUGAUCAGAAAGCCACGGCUAACUACGUG
rnacentral:rRNA from 1 species